UGGGGGAAUUUUGGACAAUGGGCGAAAGCCUGAUCCAGCAAUGCCGCGUGUGUGAAGAAGGCCUUCGGGUUGUAAAGCACUUUUGUCCGGAAAGAAAUCCUUGGCUCUAAUACAGUCGGGGGAUGACGGUACCGGAAGAAUAAGCACCGGCUAACUACGUGCCAGCAGCCGCGGUAAUACGUAGGGUGCAAGCGUUAAUCGGAAUUACUGGGCGUAAAGCGUGCGCAGGCGGUUUGCUAAGACCGAUGUGAAAUCCCCGGGCUCAACCUGGGAACUGCAUUGGUGACUGGCAGGCUAGAGUAUGGCAGGAGGGGGGUAGAAUUCCACGUGUAGCAGUGAAAUGCGUAGAGAUGUGGAGGAAUACGAUGGCGAAGGCAGCCCCCUGGGCCAAUACUGACGCUCAUGCACGAAAGCGUGGGGAGCAAACAGGAUUAGAUACCCUGGUAGUCACGCCCUAAACGAUGUCAACUAGUUGUGGGGAUUCAUUCCUUAGUAACGUAGCUAACGCGUGAAGUUGACCGCCUGGGGAGUACGGUCGCAAGAUUAAAACUCAAAUGAAUUGACGGGGUCAUAGCUG
rnacentral:rRNA from 1 species